rfam:Eimeria mitis, Houghton, WGS project CBTT01000000 data, contig: Emh_scaff1605_1
GCUUAAUUUGACUCAACACGCGGAAACUUACCAGACGCAGACAUGGGAAGGACUGACAGAUUGAUAGCUCUUUCUUGAUUCUAUGAGUGCUGGUGCCUGGCCGUUCUUAGUUGGUGGAGUGGUAUGUCCGCUUAAUUUCGACAACAAACGAGCCCUUGGGCUGCCAUAUAAGGUCGGGAACUGGAGAGGAGGUUGUCGUUCCGCGGCUUCCCGGUAGAGGCCAAAAAAGCUACAGCUGUCCCUAGUGUAUAAUCAUNAUAAUCAUGAGGAGCCUCGCUUUUGUUGAGGGCAGCA